AUUCCGGUUGAUCCUGCCGGAGGCCAUUGCUCUUGGGGUCCGAUUUAGCCAUGCUAGUCGCACGGGUUCAGACCCGUGGCAAAUAGCUCAGUAGCACGUGGCCAAUCUACCCUCUGGAACGGCAUACCCUCGGGAAACUGAGGUUAAUUCCGUACACAGCUCUCACCCUGGAAUGGUGAGAGCUCGAAACGCUCCGGCGCCGGAGGAUGAGGCUGCGGCCGAUAGGUUGACGGUGGGGUAAUGGCCCACCGUGCCGAUAAUCGGUCUGGGUCAUGAGAGUGAGAACCCAGAGACGGACUCUGAGACAAGAGUCCGGGCCCUACGGGGCGCAGCAGGCGCGAAACCUUUACACUGCACGCCAGUGCGAUAAGGGGACCCCAAGUGCGCAGGCAUAGUGCCUGCGCUUUUCUGAACUGUAGGGCGGUUCAGGAACAAGGGCUGGGCAAGACCGGUGCCAGCCGCCGCGGUAAUACCGGCAGCCCAAGUGAUGGCCGCUGUUAUUGGGCCUAAAGCGUCCGUAGCUGGCCGCACAAGUCCGUCG
rnacentral:rRNA from 1 species